rnacentral:ribozyme from 1 species
UGUCCUGUUCCCGUUUUUUUUUUUUUUUUUUUUUUGGCUUUUUC